AUGUUUCCGUUCAAGUUUAAGAGAAAACAAUUUCCUAUAAGGCUUAGCUUUGCUAUGACCAUUAACAAGGCUCAAGGGCAGACCAUCCCGAUUGUUGGUGUCUACCUACCCAAUCCCGUGUUCUCACAUGGUCAGCUCUAUGUUGCUUUGUCUCGAGCCACCGCGAAGAGAAACAUAAAGAUACUCAUUCAGAAGGAGAAGCCGAAGGAGAAGACCAACAAGCAUAAGGACAAUCCAAAAAAGCGUAAAAGAACUAGCGUGUCCUUACUGACCUCGAUGAAGAACAUCGUCUACAAGGAAGUCCUUACAGGUUGA
rnacentral:rRNA from 1 species